rnacentral:rRNA from 1 species
UACGGGGGGGGCAAGCGUUGUUCGGAAUUACUGGGCGUAAAGGGCUCGUAGGCGGCCAACUAAGUCAGACGUGAAAUCCCUCGGCUUAACCGGGGAACUGCGUCUGAUACUGGUUGGCUUGAAUUCGGGAGAGGGAUGCAGAAUUCCAGGUGUAGCGGUGAAAUGCGUAGAUAUCUGGAGGAAUACCGGUGGCGAAGGCGGCAUCCUGGACCGACAUUGACGCUGAUGAGCGAAAGCUAGGGGAGCAAACGGGG